rnacentral:rRNA from 1 species
ACGGAGGGUGCGAGCGUUGUUCGGAAUUACUGGGCGUAAAGGGCGCGUAGGCGGUGUGAUAAGUCAGAUGUGAAAGCCCACGGCUUAACCGGGGAAGUGCAUUUGAAACUGUCAGGCUUGAGUGCCAGAGGGGAAAGUGGAAUUCCCGGUGUAGAGGUGAAAUUCGUAGAUAUCGGGAGGAAUACCGGUGGCGAAGGCGACUUGCUGGCUGGAUACUGACGCUGAGGCGCGAAAGCGUGGGGAGCAAACAG